AUUCCAGCUCCAAUAGCGUAUAUUAAAGUUGUUGCGGUUAAAAAGCUCGUAGUUGGAUUUCAGCUAAUGUUUACCGUUCCUUCUUCAUGUCGGCAACUGGUUUGACAGCGGCAUUUCUUGGUAUACGUGUCGGCGCUUUAUUGUGCUGCGCUAAUUCCAAGUCUUUUACUUUGAGGAAAUUAGAGUGUUUCAAGCAGGCAUAUGCCUUGAAUACAUUAGCAUGGAAUAAUAAUAUAAGACUUCGGUUUUGUUUUGUUGGUUCUUGGAACUGAAGUAAUGAUAAAUAGGGACAGUCGGGGGCAUUCGUACUUAACUGUCGGAGGUGAAAUUCUUGGAUUUGUUAAAGACGAACUACUGCGAAAGCAUUUGCCAAGGAUGUUUUCAUCA
rnacentral:rRNA from 1 species